rnacentral:lncRNA from 1 species
AGUUAGUGGGUGCAGCGCACCAGCAUGGCACAUGUAUACAUAUGUAACUAACCUGCACAAUGUGCACAUGUACCCUAAAACCUAAAAAUAUAAUAAAAAAAAAAAUAAAAAAAUAUUAUCAGAACCACACUAACUACAUAGGUUCAAUAAACUCAGUUUUAUUGAGAAGAAGUAGAAAUGUAUGCAAUUUUAAAAAUAAAAAUAAACUCUCGACCUAGUUUUUUUUUUUUUUUCUUUUUUUUUUUUUUUUUUUGAGACGGAGUCUUGCACUGUCACCCAGGCUGGAGAGUGGUGGCGCGAUCUCAGCCCACUGCAAGCUCCGCCUCCAGGGUUCACGCCAUUCUCCUGCCUCAGCCUCCCGAGUAGCUGGGACCACAGGCGCCAGCCAUCACGACCGGCUAAUUUUUUUUUUUUUUUUUUUUUUUUUUAGUAGAGACGGGGUUUCACCAUGUUAGCCAGGAUGGUCUCGAUCUCCUGACCUCGUGAUCCGCCCGCCUUGGCCUCCCAAAGUGCUGGGAUUACAGGCGUGAGCCACUGUGAGUACAUGUGUUUUACAGAGAUAUGUGGAAAGAUGAAUUAGCAGAAACCUGUUUCACUGAAGACUAUAAUAAAGACCAACUCUAUUUACAUUAGGAAGCAAUAUUCCAUAAUGAAUAAUAGUAUCAUGUUUUGCGUCAUAGGAUGAUGCUAAACUUCUUGCUACAGCACUUAGUAACUAUGUGAUAUUGGGUAAUUUGUUUAUUCUCUUUAAUUAUACAAUUGUGAUAAUACUUCAAAAUGUUGCUUUACAGUUUACAUUUAUAACCUUCAACAAAUACUUAUUUGGCACCUAUUUGUUCAUUAUUCUUCUAGGCACAGUACAUCCAGCAAUGCACAACAUAGAUAAAGCCUCUGCUGUGAUUAGACAUUCUUUCUAGAAGAAGGGGAAAGUAAAAAGCAAAUAAAUACUUAUAUCAUAAGAUGUUGCAAACGUCACAAUGUAAAAUAAGUCCUGGUGAAAUUAUAGAGAUGAAAAACAGAUCAGUGGUUGUCAGGGAUUUGAAGAGAAGGGAGGGUUAAUCAGGUGAAGCAACAUUUUAAUUUUGGAACUGAAAAUCCCAGAGAUAAUACUUGUCUUCACUAAAAAACUUGCCUUCAACAAAAAACAUUUGUUUGGCACAAAUGUCUUUGUCUUUCUCGUAUCAUUUGAACUUUGUAUUUGUAAAGGAGAAGAUAAUAUCAUGUUUUUGACUUUGGUAUUAUGUAUUUGUAUUAUAAUUAUGGUGUAUCCAUAAUGGAACAAUAUAAUAAAUAUUUAAAGUGUAGAAAAUAACAAUAAUAAUGUAUUUUAAAAUGUCCUUUCAUUCUCUAUUCUCUUUCACAGAUUUUAUGCAAUUUUUUUUCCCUUUUUGGUCUGAUGUUUGACUCACAAAAUUUAGGGAGUGAUAUGUUUUCCUCUCAGGCUCUACUCUGAGUUGUGGACUUCCCAACCAAAUGUCUUUUAUUUUCUGCAAUGAGAGUCCUCAAAUGUGUUAACAGCUUUUGUCCCUUUUUUAGCUGGAUGUUCUACCUUAGCUACACGUUCAUUCCCCAAGCUAAGAAUGGCAGUUUGGGGAGGAUGUUUAUCAUGGUAUGUAAAAAUUUGUUAAAUGGUGUUUGAUGUACUGAUCAUACUAAUGUGAGGACAAUAACUUCACUGUAGCUUGGUGGUAUGCUCUAGUAUUUUAACAUCAAGUGCUAAUAAAACAGUAGGGUUUAAUGUACAUUAUAUUUAAUUGAACUGGUUAUCAAUAAAUAUAUUAUAAAAUAAUGUAUUAAUAUAUCAGUUAUAUCAUAUAAUGUAAUAAAUUGUAAGAUAUAGUUGAUGUUAUAUUAUGUAAU